rnacentral:lncRNA from 1 species
UGGUUGGUGAGAAUAAGGGCAAGGUGUCUAGGCACAUUGUAGCAAGUGUCGAAUGACACAAAAUAUGUUGAACCUUUUCAAAGCACAGUUGGCUUAUGUAUGAAUGUGUUGGAAUGUAUGAUUGAACGAAUAUACUGUGAAGCUGUUCGUUUAUUUGUAUAGUCUUGUUGACAUAUACUUAGACUUUGUUUCAUGUUGGAAGCAUUCAUGUUGAAGCUUUGAACCCGAAUGUUUCAUUGCUAGAAAUGUAAGAGGAUUAGGAUUAAGUUGUCUAAAUCACCUCUUUAUUGAAUUCAUGCCAAAUAGUCUUCGUUACAUAGGAUGCCGAGCGGCUGAAGCUUAACACUUGUACAAUGUGAGUUUACUUGUAAUAGUACUUCAAGUGAUCA